rnacentral:rRNA from 1 species
CCUACGGGAGGCUGCAGUGGGGAAUAUUGGACAAUGGGGGCAACCCUGAUCCAGCCAUGCCGCGUGUGUGAAGAAGGCCCUAGGGUUGUAAAGCACUUUCAGUGAGGAAGAACUCCUGGUGGUUAAUACCCAUCAGGAAAGACAUCACUCACAGAAGAAGCACCGGCUAACUCCGUGCCAGCAGCCGCGGUAAUACGGAGGGUGCGAGCGUUAAUCGGAAUUACUGGGCGUAAAGCGCGCGUAGGUGGCUUGAUAAGCCGGUUGUGAAAGCCCCGGGCUCAACCUGGGAACGGCAUCCGGAACUGUCAAGCUAGAGUGCAGGAGAGGAAGGUAGAAUUCCCGGUGUAGCGGUGAAAUGCGUAGAGAUCGGGAGGAAUACCAGUGGCGAAGGCGGCCUUCUGGACUGACACUGACACUGAGGUGCGAAAGCGUGGGUAGCAAACAGGAUUAGAUACCCUGGUAGUC